AGAAAUUUAGGCUAAACAGACCAAAAGCCUUCAAAGCUUUAAGCAGGAGUGAAAAUCUCUUAAUUUCUG
rnacentral:tRNA from 1 species